ensembl:scaRNA
AUCCUGUCUCCCUUGGUGCUGUGGGGGUCCCCUCUCUCCCCAGCCGGGGCUGGAGGCUGAGAUUAGCCCUGCUGGGGACGUCGCCGGGUCUGCUCGAGCCUCGUUUUCCUACUUCACAUAUCU